GACGAGGGGUCCUAGCGUUGUUCGGAAUCACUGGGCGUAAAGCGUAUGUAGGCGGCUUUUCAAGUCAGGUGUGAAAUCCCAUGGCUUAACCAUGGAACUGCAUUUGAAACUGUAAAGCUUGAGUAUUGGAGAGGAUGGUAGAAUUCCUGGUGUAGUGGUGAAAUACGUAGAUAUCAGGAGGAAUACCGGUGGCGAAGGCGGGUCUCUGGGCAGUAACUGACGCUGAGGAGCGAAAGCGUGGGGAGCGAACAGG
rnacentral:rRNA from 1 species